ACCGGGAUGGCGGAAUUGGUAGACGCGCUAGAUUUAGGAUCUAGUCUCCUUUGGAGGUGAGGGUUCGAGUCCCUUUCCCGGUA
rnacentral:tRNA from 1 species